UUAUAGGUAAAACGAGAUAGCCGACGGCUCGACCUGAACUGGUUGCUCACCGAAUCUUGAAAGAUUUCGAAAAUCGACGGGAGAAUGCCACGAAAAACAGGCAAAUUCGUGCUAUGUGGCAGCAAACUAUGGAAAAAUACGAAUU
ensembl:ncRNA Y41E3.465 ncRNA